CAGUCAUAGUGUUUAUCAAUUUUCUGGUAGGAUGAUGCUGGCUUUCAUAGUUGGUACCAAACUUGAUGGGAACUGCAGUCGUUGUGUAAAUUGGAAUUUGCUCCUGGAGACUGUAUGGUUGAAACCCUCAAGCAUUUGGUGGAACCUCUAGUGGUUUUAGAUGGAUGCAAACACUGACGUCUUCAGAGAAAGUUGAUCUUGGCACAGAUUUGGGUGAUGUGGUAUUUUUUUUUCCCCUCUGAUUCUCCUGCAUCUUCCUUUCUCACUGCUGAAGGCAUGGAGGGAGAGGUCUGUCCCUUUCAAACAGAGAGAUUACAGUCAUGGGGGCCUAAAGAUGCUCGCUGGCCUCAGAGAGAGCCAGGGAAGGAUGAAGCCAGUCACAGAUUAAAACCUCAUAGAAGUUUGAUUUAAAGUAUUUUAUUUCAGAUUUUUACUCUGUGCAGCAACACUUGUCUAAGAGAUUACUUUCGCCUGGCAAAAGAGGGAUGUAGUAGCCUGUCCAGUCCCAGCGCCAAGGCCUCCUGGGCACCUGGAGCUGAAGUGCCAGUCUGGGCAGAGCCUGGCCAGCCCUGGGGAAGGCAGUUGGGACCCAGCCUGGCUCUGAGGGCUGGGCUCUGGGAGGCGGACCACACCCCGAGUCCUCAGGGCACCAUGACUCCCCUGGGACGAAGGCUCUUGCCCACGGGUAGGCGUGAAGUGUAUCCAAUGUGUUGGAUGCUUCUGCUCAGAGCUUUGGACUCUGUUGAAAACAUGUCUACUCUUCUAAAGCCUGCAGCUUCAUCUGCUUUUCUUUGAUGCUUUCCUAGUGAUUGAGACUUUGGUUAAGCCACAGGCAGUCUCUUGAGGAGAGAAAGCACGUAACUCUGUCUGCACAUGUAUGCAAAUCCGUGCUCCUGACAGCAAAGCCUGGAGUAGCGCCUCCGUGUGUCAUGUCCUCCGUGUGGCCCCAGCUCACCUUUUCUUGCAGAUACUCCUGUGCUAUUUUAGGAGAAAUAAAAUAUUUCUCAAAAUAUUUGGUUCUCAAAUAUUUGGGUUCUCAAAACUGGCCCUCACAGAUCAAUAGUGUGUGGAGGCAGUGUGUGGCCAGUUUGGUGAUUCUGGAAGGCAGUGAUGAUUUAAGUGGUCCCCUUGUGUCUCUGUGUUCAAAACCAAGCAACCAUGAAGUUGUGUCACCACUGCUUGAUUGUCUUUUUCUCCAUAUUUUGCUUAUACAGGAAAAUAAUGACAUUAAACAGGUAGCAAAAGGCAAAAGGCAAAAAAAAAAAACACAAAAAACAAAAAACAGCAGCACUUUCUAGGCUGAAGGCUAUUGCCAAUUAAUUCUCUUUAGCAAAAUAAAAAGGUGCUUCUUGCCCAGGCACUGCCAUUAACUCGUUUGCCACCUUAGGGAGACGCAGACAUAACGCCACCUUCCUUGAACUUUGCAAACCUUCCUGGCUUUUUAUAAAAUCUCGUGUUUCUUCUCUCCUCAGCAGAUACUUCUGAGAUCAUUAAGAACUGUCUGGUUGAAAAGGUAAUUUGAAAUAUUUGACCUUCUACAUUGCUUUUAUUUAGAAACCAAUCUCUGACAGAAAACACCCUCAAUAUGUUAAAUCUGGAACUUUCUUCUGAAAAGGAAUGUUCUGGGUUGACUUUUCUUCACACCAGUAGAUGGCAUUUAUAUACUCUUAGACUGGAAACAGAGGAAUGGGUCCUGAUGUGUUUUCCCUUCUCUGGUCUGGAUCAUGUUUUUAUUUCAUUUGGAUUUAAUUUCUCAACCUUGGGGAUUUUUCCCCCCUCUCUAGUUUUUCUUAUUCCUAAACAGUAAAGAAAAAAGUUACCUACAAGUACGCUGAGCUUGAAUCAAUGGCAACUUGCCUAGAAUAAAAUUCAGCUUAUGGAUUCUUGAAUAGUACAUCUUUUUCAUAGAGUUAGCUUGUUGUCUGCAUUUUUAUGCCAAGACUUCAAUUCAGGUUACUGCUUAUCUAGACACCUGUGAGUGGCAUGUUUUCUUUGGGAUGCAUCGUACACAGAGGCCAGAGAGCCUUCAGUAAGGGGUUAGUAGCCUGGACUGUAGUGCGCUAUCAGAACUUUUAUGGUUCUAAUUUAGAGUAGGAACUUCUCAAAGGACCUUGAUCAGCUUUGUUGAUGGGAUCAGGGCGAGGCUGGAAGUUUCUUUUCCUAAUUGUGCCUCAGAGGAUAGAAAGUAGGACACGGUUGAUUCGGGUGAUGGUUUGUAUGGGACUUGGUAAUAGUCUGAACCUGUCAAAUCUGAGAAACCCCAGUAGGAAGCACCCCAUUUUACCAGGACACGAGGACAGUGUGGGGACCUGAUGUGCAUGCCAGGCAGGGCCAGUCUGACGGCUGCCUCCCUCUGUGGGCCAUUUUGCUUUCUUGCCUUUUCCAGAAUCGGUUUUGCAAGUUUUGAGAUCCUGUUCCCUUCUCUGCAGAAGCGAGGAAGGCAAAUAAUCAGGGCUUGAAGGGAGAACUGGUUGGUCCAAGGGCCGGCCCCCCCGGGGAGGACGCAGGCAGGAGGCCUGAUGCACCUCCAAGCUGGCCCCGGCCCACACCGGGGCUGCCUACUUCCAGCGCUUUCACUCUGUAAUCCAUUUUAAAAAUGAGCUUUCAGAUCCUGCCUCAUGAUGAAACUAACGUAUGUGGAUAAAACCAGUGCUUUUAAUAACUUGAUUUUGAUAUGGUUCCCACUGAAAGAAUGUAGGGAUCGAAACUAUUUGUAUAUGUCGAGAUUUGUAGGGGUUCAGGAACCCGUGGCAAAAACACUUAACUAUUUAUUAUAGGUAUGACUGUAUGUUUUUUCCCCCAAAACAGGUAAUUCUGUCUUUGUAUAUUUUAAGACAAAUAAGAAUUGCUUCACCUUCGGUGCCUUCUGUGCGUGAGUCACACAAACACUUGUCAAUCAUGGAAUUGAAAAAAAGAUGUACAUUUAGUUAAACCAGAUGACACUAUUUUUGUAGCAUGAUUUUAGAUUGUGUCCUUUUAAUAUUGCUUUUAGCAAUGAUGGUUUUGAGGUUUGGCCAUUAUCCCUUUUAGACUUCGUUACAUAUUUUGAAAAAAUUAAAGAAACAAUACCCACCUUGGCUAUUCCUGCCUCCUCUCUGCUGCUUUCUCCCCAAUGAUUUGUUUCUGCUUAUUUCAACAGUCUGAGAGUAAGAGUAUAUUUCUGUGAAAUAAUUAUGAAUCCGUAUAACUGCAUUUGGCAUUUUUAAACCACUUGGUCACUUGGAGCCACCGCUCACCUCAAACAGAAAGAGGAAAGUGGUUUCAUAAAAAAGAAUGGACGUCCGCGGUGCCCUGACCUCCCCCCUCUCUGGGGUGGAGAUGGUGCAGAGCCCCCGUGUCGCAACCCCGGUGUCCUGGCCUGGCGAGGGCGGUCCUGGGCCUGGCGUCUGCGGACGGCUCAGGCCACCCCCGGCCCUGCGUCCCCCUCCGCCCGCUGGCCUCCUCAGAUCUCACAUGGGCUCGGUGCCCCUUUCUGGCUUUCUGCCUGGACAAAAUAGGUGCCCUGCUGUGCGGAGCCCCAUGAAGUCGAGACCCAGCUAACCCGCUAGCUGCUCCUUUGGCUUUCCCACCCCUGUAGGACGCGAGUUCUGUCUGGUCAAGAAAAAUCUCGAGUAAACUAGCUGAGCCGUUGCAAAGUGAAGGAAUGGAUUUACUGAAACAUGAUAUUACAGCUCCUCUUUUGUCCUUUGGAAGGGUCAGACUACGUAAUUAUUUUAACGAAGGAAGUCAAGUCAGAUGGCUGGUAACUGCAGUGAUUCUUCACUGGUACUUGGCCCAGUGGCACUUCUGGGGGGCGACGUUAAUUUAACAACUAUGACAUUUUGCUUCUGAAAAGUCUAUUUCCUUUACUAGUUUGGACACAGCUGUGGGGCAUUCGGAAGGAUGCCACUUGGCACGCAUUGGUUUAUGCUGCUGGGGCGGGGGGGGGGGGGGUGUCUCCCGGCUUCUCGAACCCUGGCUCGUGGGUUGGACUCUGUCCACGUGGAGCAGGUCUGGGGCCCCAGAGCCUUUGCCCCCGGUGGUUUGUCCCUGACAGCAGACAAAGCCUCACAUUGCCCUCGGUUUUGCCCCUUUGUUUCUUUUGAAGGACCUAUUUUUCAUGGUACUUGUGCUGAUUGUUUUCAUAGUGUUCAAAUCUGUAUUUUUGUAUGUAGAGGGAAAUAAUUUUCUCAACACUAAUCGCUAAUAAAUAUUGUACUAAAUUGUCAUGAAGGAAUUGUUUAAUAAAUGGACAC
rnacentral:lncRNA from 1 species